rnacentral:rRNA from 1 species
UACAGAGGGGGCAAGCGUUAUUCGGAAUUAUUGGGCGUAAAGGGCGCGUAGGCGGCCUGGCAAGUGGAAGGUGAAAUCCCUCGGCUUAACCGAGGAACUGCCCUCCAAACUGCUUGGCUUGAGACCGGGAGAGGUGAGUGGAAUUCCCAGUGUAGCGGUGAAAUGCGUAGAUAUUGGGAGGAACACCAGUGGCGAAGGCGGCUCACUGGACCGGUACUGACGCUGAGGAGCGAAAGCCAGGGGAGCAAACGGG